CAGUAGCCACGGGAAUACGUAGGUGGCAAGCGUUAUCCGGAAUUAUUGGGCGUAAAGCGCGCGUAGGCGGUUUCUUAAGUCUAAUGUGAAAGCCCACGGCUCAACCGUGGAGGGUCAUUGGAAACUGGGAAACUUGAGUGCAGAAGAGGAAAGUGGAAUUCCAUGUGUAGCGGUGAAAUGCGCAGAGAUAUGGAGGAACACCAGUGGCGAAGGCGACUUUCUGGUCUGUAACUGACGCUGAUGUGCGAAAGCGUGGGGAUCAAACAGGAUUAGAUACCCCUGUAGUCCCUGUCUCUUAUAC
rnacentral:rRNA from 1 species